rnacentral:rRNA from 1 species
GGGUUGUGAGGUUAAGCGACUAAGCGUACACGGUGGAUGCCCUGGCAGUCAGAGGCGAUGAAGGACGUGCUAAUCUGCGAUAAGCGUCGGUAAGGUGAUAUGAACCGUUAUAACCGGCGAUUUCCGAAUGGGGAAACCCAGUGUGUUUCGACACACUAUCAUUAACUGAAUCCAUAGGUUAAUGAGGCGAACCGGGGGAACUGAAACAUCUAAGUACCCCGAGGAAAAGAAAUCAACCGAGAUUCCCCCAGUAGCGGCGAGCGAACGGGGAGCAGCCCAGAGCCUGAAUCAGUGUGUGUGUUAGUGGAAGCGUCUGGAAAGGCGCGCGAUACAGGGUGACAGCCCCGUACACAAAAAUGCACAUGCUGUGAGCUCGAUGAGUAGGGCGGGACACGUGGUAUCCUGUCUGAAUAUGGGGGGACCAUCCUCCAAGGCUAAAUACUCCUGACUGACCGAUAGUGAACCAGUACCGUGAGGGAAAGGCGAAAAGAACCCCGGCGAGGGGAGUGAAAAAGAACCUGAAACCGUGUACGUACAAGCAGUGGGAGCACGCUUAGGCGUGUGACUGCGUACCUUUUGUAUAAUGGGUCAGCGACUUAUAUUCUGUAGCAAGGUUAACCGAAUAGGGGAGCCGAAGGGAAACCGAGUCUUAACUGGGCGUUAAGUUGCAGGGUAUAGACCCGAAACCCGGUGAUCUAGCCAUGGGCAGGUUGAAGGUUGGGUAACACUAACUGGAGGACCGAACCGACUAAUGUUGAAAAAUUAGCGGAUGACUUGUGGCUGGGGGUGAAAGGCCAAUCAAACCGGGAGAUAGCUGGUUCUCCCCGAAAGCUAUUUAGGUAGCGCCUCGUGAAUUCAUCUCCGGGGGUAGAGCACUGUUUCGGCAAGGGGGUCAUCCCGACUUACCAACCCGAUGCAAACUGCGAAUACCGGAGAAUGUUAUCACGGGAGACACACGGCGGGUGCUAACGUCCGUCGUGAAGAGGGAAACAACCCAGACCGCCAGCUAAGGUCCCAAAGUCAUGGUUAAGUGGGAAACGAUGUGGGAAGGCCCAGACAGCCAGGAUGUUGGCUUAGAAGCAGCCAUCAUUUAAAGAAAGCGUAAUAGCUCACUGGUCGAGUCGGCCUGCGCGGAAGAUGUAACGGGGCUAAACCAUGCACCGAAGCUGCGGCAGCGACACUAUGUGUUGUUGGGUAGGGGAGCGUUCUGUAAGCCUGUGAAGGUGUGCUGUGAGGCAUGCUGGAGGUAUCAGAAGUGCGAAUGCUGACAUAAGUAACGAUAAAGCGGGUGAAAAGCCCGCUCGCCGGAAGACCAAGGGUUCCUGUCCAACGUUAAUCGGGGCAGGGUGAGUCGACCCCUAAGGCGAGGCCGAAAGGCGUAGUCGAUGGGAAACAGGUUAAUAUUCCUGUACUUGGUGUUACUGCGAAGGGGGGACGGAGAAGGCUAUGUUGGCCGGGCGACGGUUGUCCCGGUUUAAGCGUGUAGGCUGGUUUUCCAGGCAAAUCCGGAAAAUCAAGGCUGAGGCGUGAUGACGAGGCACUACGGUGCUGAAGCAACAAAUGCCCUGCUUCCAGGAAAAGCCUCUAAGCAUCAGGUAACAUCAAAUCGUACCCCAAACCGACACAGGUGGUCAGGUAGAGAAUACCAAGGCGCUUGAGAGAACUCGGGUGAAGGAACUAGGCAAAAUGGUGCCGUAACUUCGGGAGAAGGCACGCUGAUAUGUAGGUGAAGUCCCUUGCGGAUGGAGCUGAAAUCAGUCGAAGAUACCAGCUGGCUGCAACUGUUUAUUAAAAACACAGCACUGUGCAAACACGAAAGUGGACGUAUACGGUGUGACGCCUGCCCGGUGCCGGAAGGUUAAUUGAUGGGGUCAGCGCAAGCGAAGCUCUUGAUCGAAGCCCCGGUAAACGGCGGCCGUAACUAUAACGGUCCUAAGGUAGCGAAAUUCCUUGUCGGGUAAGUUCCGACCUGCACGAAUGGCGUAAUGAUGGCCAGGCUGUCUCCACCCGAGACUCAGUGAAAUUGAACUCGCUGUGAAGAUGCAGUGUACCCGCGGCAAGACGGAAAGACCCCGUGAACCUUUACUAUAGCUUGACACUGAACAUUGAGCCUUGAUGUGUAGGAUAGGUGGGAGGCUUUGAAGUGUGGACGCCAGUCUGCAUGGAGCCGACCUUGAAAUACCACCCUUUAAUGUUUGAUGUUCUAACGUGGACCCGUGAUCCGGGUUGCGGACAGUGUCUGGUGGGUAGUUUGACUGGGGCGGUCUCCUCCUAAAGAGUAACGGAGGAGCACGAAGGUUGGCUAAUCCUGGUCGGACAUCAGGAGGUUAGUGCAAUGGCAUAAGCCAGCUUGACUGCGAGCGUGACGGCGCGAGCAGGUGCGAAAGCAGGUCAUAGUGAUCCGGUGGUUCUGAAUGGAAGGGCCAUCGCUCAACGGAUAAAAGGUACUCCGGGGAUAACAGGCUGAUACCGCCCAAGAGUUCAUAUCGACGGCGGUGUUUGGCACCUCGAUGUCGGCUCAUCACAUCCUGGGGCUGAAGUAGGUCCCAAGGGUAUGGCUGUUCGCCAUUUAAAGUGGUACGCGAGCUGGGUUUAGAACGUCGUGAGACAGUUCGGUCCCUAUCUGCCGUGGGCGCUGGAGAACUGAGGGGGGCUGCUCCUAGUACGAGAGGACCGGAGUGGACGCAUCACUGGUGUUCGGGUUGUCAUGCCAAUGGCACUGCCCGGUAGCUAAAUGCGGAAGAGAUAAGUGCUGAAAGCAUCUAAGCACGAAACUUGCCCCGAGAUGAGUUCUCCCUGACUCCUUGAGAGUCCUGAAGGAACGUUGAAGACGACGACGUUGAUAGGCCGGGUGUGUAAGCGCAGCGAUGCGUUGAGCUAACCGGUACUAAUGAACCGUGAGGCUUAACCUUACAACGCCGAAG